GGCGGUUUAGCUCAGUUGGUGAGAGCGCACGACUCAUAAUCGUGAGGUCCCGAGUUCGAGUCUCGGAACCGCUA
rnacentral:tRNA from 2 species